rnacentral:lncRNA from 13 species
GAUUUAAAUGUGGUUACUGUGGCUGGGCUGUUUAGCGUUACAAAAAUGAAAGAAUUUCUCACAGUUGCCUUGCAAACUGUGACUUAUUCAUGGAUAACAAUAGAAACCUCUUUAUAGAUGAGACACAUUUGCAUAAGACAGAUAGCAACACUGCCAUUGAAAUACUGCUGAUAAAGAAAAUAUUGCUGAGAAUUUUGAAAGCACUGCCCACGAUAAUGUAAUAGAAAACGUAGACGAAGAUUUAAUAGCUACAGUAAAAGAGAGACCAGCCCUGUAUGACUAUCGAAUACCCGUAAAGGAACGAGGAAGGAAACAGAAAUAUCAUUUGUGGCAGGAAGUCAGCAACUGUUUAAAAG